CUGUUAGGCAUUGUGGUGUUUGGGUUGGCUCGUUGGAUUGCCGCUCCACUUGAAGUCCAGCAUUGAGUAUGGUUACUGGAUUUGGCCCAGAGAGGGUGAGAGGCCCGUGCGGGUGGAGUUUCAGACAUGAUUGGCAGUUCACCAGGUCAGCCCUAGAGUCGGGUUGUUUGAGAAUGCAGCCCAAAGUGGGUGGUAAACUCCAUCCAAGGCUAAAUACUGGCACGAGUCCGAUAGCGAACAAGUACCGUGAGGGAAAGUUGAAAAGUACUUUGAAGAGAGAGUAAACAGCACGUGAAACCGCAUGUAGGUAAACGGGUGGCGUCAAGCUGCAAGCCGAGAGAAUUCAGUUGGUCAGGUUGUUGCAUGUGCCUAGCGCAUUUAUCAGUCGGUUGGACUGGUCUGUAUGUGUAUGUGUACAGGCCUGCGUGCAGGAUUUGCAGUCCACUUUGGUUGGUGGAGCAAACUGGUUCAACUGCUGGAUUGCCUGAUCGAUGCACUUUCUCUAUGGUGGACACCACGACCGGUGGUACUGCCAGUCUGCUUUGGCCAAGUUCUUGUUGCUUCUCGCGGAGCAGCUUGGAUGACAUGCAAUUUCAGUGCACGGUGCUUAAGCGUUUCGGCGUUCAAGCAUGUUAUCGGACACUGGUUGUUUAUUCAGACUGUAUGUUCGCACAAACGUUUGUAAAGCGGUGCGUGCGUCUGGUCGGCCUUGGUGGUAUGAAUAACUGUGCAGGGCACCGUUGUCAUCGGUCUCAAAUACAUUCUGGCUGCUGCACACUUUACAAGUGGUCGCGUGAGCGUUGUCCAGCCUCGCCUAUGCUUCGAUCUGAUUGUCGUGUCGCCUGCGCAAAGUGGGUCCGGCUUUGGUCUGGUGUAGGUCGGUGUUGGCAUGGCGUUUGCCGUGGCAGUCAGUGUGGGCCUAACAGUCUGUGGUGUAGUGGUAGACUAGCUGCCCGACCCGUCUUGAAACACGGACCAAGGAGUUUAACAUGCGCGCAAGUCAAAGGGUGUGUACGAAACCCCAAGGCGCAAUGAAAGUGAAGCCUCGUCUUGUCGCGGGGUGUGGUGAGAUCCUGUUGUUACUCGCAUCGACCUAUUG
rnacentral:rRNA from 1 species